rnacentral:tRNA from 1 species
GGGCCGUUAGCUCAGCUGGUAGAGCAACUGACUUUUAAUCAGUAGGUCACAGGUUCGACCCCUGUACGGCUCACCA